UACGUAGGGAGCAAGCGUUGUCCGGAAUCAUUGGGCGUAAAGCGCGCGUAGGUGGCCCCAUAAGUCCGCUGUGAAAGUCAAAGGCUCAACCUUUGAAAGCCGGUGGAUACUGUGGGACUAGAGUACGGAAGAGGCGAGUGGAAUUCCUGGUGUAGCGGUGGAAUGCGCAGAUAUCAGGAGGAACACCAAUAGCGAAGGCAGCUCGCUGGGACGUUACUGACACUGAGGCGCGAAAGCGUGGGGGAGCGAACAGG
rnacentral:rRNA from 1 species